AAGACUAACAAUUAAAGCAGCUAAUGUAGCCAUACCUUCUUCGUUGAUUUAUCAAGACAUCAAUGGACAGCUUUUGUUCACCUUCUAUGUACAAGUUGGUGAUGCCUUCCUAUCAAAAGAAUAUCUUAAGCCAGCAGUACAGCAAGCUGAAGAACUCUAUCGAGAUGCUGGGUUGCUCCAAGCGCUGCCUCUCCUCACAACACAACCCCCUUUAUCUUCAGAUCCUGUCACCACACCUAGAUCUACAACCUUGAUCAAGACGAUUUUAGAAGAUACUCAAAUAAUCGCCAUAGCAGCUGGAGCUGGUGGACCAGCGCUCGUAAUCAUGACAGUACUACUCAGUCUCUUAUGCUACUGCAAGUAUAAAUAUCGAAACCAAAGAAAAGGGCAACAUCAAGUCAACCUGAUUGAAGUAACAGAUCGUGUUAAUGUAGAGUUGAAAAAGGUGAACAUAAUUGUGAAGAAAUUGCAGAGGUUACAUUAUCUCUGGUCAAAUUGAUGUGAACAUUAAU